AGUGAACGCUGGCGGUAGGCCUAACACAUGCAAGUCGAACGGCAGCACAGUAAGAGCUUGCGCUUACGGGUGGCGAGUGGCGGACGGGUGAGGAAUACAUCGGAAUCUACUUUUUCGUGGGGGAUAACGUAGGGAAACUUACGCUAAUACCGCAUACGACCUACGGGUGAAAGGAGGGGAUCUUCGGACCGUGCGCGAUGGAAUGAGCCGAUGUCGGAUUAGCUAGGUGGCGGGGUAAAGGCCCACCAAGGCGACGAUCCGUAGCUGGUCUGAGAGGAUGAUCAGCCACACUGGAACUGAGACACGGUCCAGACUCCUACGGGAGGCAGCAGUGGGGAAUAUUGGACAAUGGGCGCAAGCCUGAUCCAGCCAUACCGCGUGGGUGAAGAAGGCCUUCGGGUUGUAAAGCCCUUUUGUUGGGAAAGAAAAGCAGCAGGUUAAUACCCCGCUGUUCUGACGGUACCCAAAGAAUAAGCACCGGCUAACUUCGUG
rnacentral:rRNA from 1 species